UACGGGGGGGGCAAGCGUUGUUCGGAAUUACUGGGCGUAAAGGGCUCGUAGGCGGCCAACUAAGUCAUACGUGAAAUCCCUCGGCUUAACCGGGGAACUGCGUCUGAUACUGGAUGGCUUGAGUUCGGGAGAGGGAUGCGGAAUUCCAGGUGUAGCGGUGAAAUGCGUAGAUAUCUGGAGGAACACCGGUGGCGAAGGCGACGUCCUGGACCGGCAUUGACGCUGAGGCGCGAAAGCCAGGGGAGCAAAGCGGG
rnacentral:rRNA from 1 species